ACAAAGCAUUUGAAAGACUCAACUUAUUUCUUUUCGAAUAGUGACUAUUGGGCUAUUGUUUCCUGUCCAGUAGGUCUCCAGUGACAGAUAUACGUGGAGUGGUUUAAGAAUAGAGGUAAUAUCGAUAAGGCCCAUGGCAGGUGUUGAUGCCAUGUGAUUUGUGCGCAGUGCUCUGAAUGUCAAAGUGAAGAAAUUCAAUGAAGCGCAGGUAAAUGGCGGGAGAAACUAUGGUGAAACCACAGCCAAGGGAACGGGCUUGGCGGAAUCAGCAGGGAAAGAAGACCCUGUUGAGCUUGACUCUAGUCUGGCACGGUGAAGAGAUAUGACAGGUGUAGAACAUGAUAUGUACUCACUCAUAUGUGGACCUGCUUUAUGAUACAUAGUAGUGACCAUGCUUUAUCAGAGCUGUUUUUAAUGAUGUUGCUCAGAAUGGUUUUCUCCCAGAUGAUGACUGAGAAGCUAAUUUAAACAGAAAAAAAUGGUGCCAAGUACCACAAGAGUUAACAGAACUGUGCUGUUUUCUGGGAUUUUGUUUUUUAGUUUUUUGUUGUUUGUUUGUUUGUUUGUUUUGUUUUGUUUUAAAUGGAGUGUGCUGGAUAUCUCUAAAAUUUUGUUCAAAUGACUGCAGAACCUGGAAAAGCUGUUGCU
rnacentral:ncRNA from 1 species